rnacentral:ncRNA from 1 species
UAAAAAGUUGAGGAAAUGAAUCUUGGUAGAGUAUUUUUUUCUUUUAGUUUCUUCUUUGUUGGACCUUUGGACUUCAAAGCUAGAGGUGUCGGAAUAUUUAUCACAGGGAUAACUACCUUGUGGCAUCCAAAUGCAGUCACGCAUGGCAACAUUGCUUUGUGAUCCUUGAAUGUUGGCUCUUCCUAUCGUUGUAAAUUUGUAUGGAAAAAUUCACCCGUGUUGGCCUAUUCAUCUGACCCACCAAUAUGCAAUGUGUGGUGGGUUGAGAUAGUGGUGAGAGAAGUUAGUUUACCCUACUGAUGACAUUGUUGCAAUGGUGAUUCAAUCUAUUACGAGAAAAACCAUUCACUUUCACAAUUGUAUCGUGUUUGGUUGAAAACCCAUUGGCGCGAAACUACCACACGUGGAAUAUGACUGAAUGUCUUUAAGUCGAACUCCAUACCACAUACAAUGCAUGCGCCGGCCUUUGAGUACUGUCCUACAAUAGGGGCUUCAGCCCCCAAAGACACGCGUCAUAGGCUGAGCCACAUAGAGGAUGUGUUGUGAUAGCCACCUUAAAGUACAAUUCCUAUUGAUCGAUGGUGGAAUCUUUUGCAUGCGACUAAUACUAAGUGAGGUAUUGUAAGUGGUGGAGUGACCUUACUGUCAUGAUCAGAGCCUCAUGUCGGUCUGUCC